CCUACGGGUGGCAGCAGUGGGGAAUAUUGCACAAUGGGGGAAACCCUGAUGGAGCGACGCCGCGUGAGUGAAGAAGUAAUUCGGUAUGUAAAGCUCUAUCAGCAGGGAAGAAAAUGACGGUACCUGAGUAAGAAGCCACGGCUAACUACGUGCCAGCAGCCGCGGUAAUACGGAGGGGGCAAGCGUUAGCCGGAUUUACUGGGUGUAAAGGGAGCGUAGACGGCAGUGCAAGUCUGGGGUGAAAGGCGGGGGCUCAACCCCCGGACUGCUCUGGAUACUGUACGGCUGGAGUGCAGGAGAGGUAAGUGGAAUUCCUGGUGUAGCGGUGAAAUGCGUAGAUAUUAGGAGGAACACCAGUGGCGAAGGCGGCUUACUGGACUGUAACUGACGUUGAGGCUCGAAAGCGUGGGGAGCAAACAGGAUUAGAUACCCUUGUAGUC
rnacentral:rRNA from 1 species